UGGCUAUGAUGAGAAAGUUUGUCAUGCACCACUCUGAUUCCCAUCGGGUUGUGAUGAUACUUGACUUUACCCAUUGAAUCUGAGCUC